GAUUGAACACAUUCCAUCACCAGAUCUCGUGUGAUACGAUAUUUAUCCACUCGAGACAGUUAAAUUUUAAAUAUUUAAAACGCUCGGCUAGACUUGCGUUUUAAAUUUGAAAAUUUAACUGUCUGGAGUGGAUAAAUAUCGUAUCACACUCGAUGCAGUGGUAGAAUCUAUAUGUAUC
rnacentral:sRNA from 1 species